UGCCCAACAACUCCUAUCCCUACCUCCUCGUGGUACUGGCCGGGGUACGAGUAACCUUAGGGAAGAUCGGGUAACCAACCCCCGGUGGGAACUUUGGUCGUAUGCUGACAGGGAAGG
rnacentral:ribozyme from 1 species